rnacentral:misc_RNA from 1 species
GAUGAAGAACGCAGCGAAAUGCGAUAACUAAUGUGAAUUGCAGAAUUCAGUGAAUCAUCGAGUCUUUGAACGCACAUUGCGCCCCCUGGUAUUCCGGGGGGCAUGCCUGUCCGAGCGUCAUUGCUGCCCUCAAGCCCGGCUUGUGUGUUGGGCCCCGUCCCCCUCUCCGGGGGACGGGCCCGAAAGGCAGCGGCGGCACCGAGUCCGGUCCUCGAGCGUAUGGGGCUUUGUCACCCGCUCUGUAGGCCCGGCCGGCGCCAGCCGACAACCCAUCAUCCUUUUCAGGUUGACCUCGGAUCAGGUAGGGAUACCCGCUGAACUUAAGCAUAUCAAUAAGCGGAGGA